CUUCUCCACUUUCUCAAUCUAGAAAUUUUCUCUUUGACCACAAACCCUAGAGAAAGAUGAACAACGCGAAUCGCAUUUGAAGUGGAAGUGACGAUGGUAGAACCCGGCAAAAUACUGUCGGAGCACAAGAUAGACAUGGCGGCAGCGGCGUUUUACAACAUGUUGCGAGAGAGUAAGUCAAUGUUUCAGGAAAUCAUGGCCAAGAUGCUUGGUAUCAAGAAAGAAGCCCACUCGUCACUCAAAUUCUCGUUAAUUUCAUAACCCUCCAAAAGGUGUUUCCCUAUAUAUGUGCUUGCGUGGGUGUUUAGAUAGUAUAUUAAGUAUCUUUAGCGUUGGUCGGGAUUUUUUUAUUUUUUAUUUUUGGUGGCAUGUUGAAUAUAAAUGUAAAUGAUUUUCGAUUAAAUGUAGCAUCAACUUUGGGGUUUCUCUGAGAAUUUUGAAGAAAUAGUUUUUAAUUAUGAGUAGAACCUAGGGAUUUUAUUUUUUUUCUUGCUCUAUUUCCAAAUGUAAUUAAUUUUGGCCUGCACAACAAUGGAGAUUUUAAUAAUGACAGGGAGAUAGAAAAUACAAGUGUAAGGGAAUUUCUGUGAUUCACCGUGUUAAACAAAUUGCACAAUUAAUUCAUAAUAUUUUACUCGGUGAAAUGAUGAACUAGAGCAUAAGCACAGGAAAUGUGGGUUGAGCUCAGUUUGUUUGUGCGAAGGUACGUUACAUCCCUAACUUAAACUCUAAAUUUGUGCAUAUGCACAGGAGUGUGCUUAAUUGCCGAUCUCUGUAACUUCUUAAUUGAACUUUGUAUCUCCUAUUUGUUCUAUCAAAUUCAUUGAUGUCAUCUUUGCUUUUCCUUUUCUUUUUAUUUUUUUGCUGGGUGGUUCUUAUAAAGAUACUAGCUCUUUAAUGAUUAUUUCGAUUAGAUUAAGAAAAUUUGUGUUCAUGCAUUUCAUUUUUGAGCAGGAGUACAAAUAUUAUGUGUAAUGAAAGAGAAGCAGAUGGUAGUCUAAUUCUUUUUAAGUAGCCAUCUUUCACUUCAUUUUUUAAUAUUAAUUUUUUACCAUACUUAUUGGUUGUUUGAUAAUUUGAUUUUGAAAAGUUGUUUUCCUCUACUCUAGUCAGGUGAUGAAUUUCGGGUUUCGAAUUUUCUAGAAUUCUUUUUCAUAUUCCAUGCAGAAGCUUUAAGGCUUUUUAUUUGUAAAAAUGUGCAGGAAACAACAUUAAAUCCUUUAUGGAUGUCAGGCUUCUUGGUAAUGGUUUUGGAACCACUCAUGGAAUGAUGAGAAAUAAUCUCAUUUGGGUUGUUUCAAGAAUGCAAGUUCAAGUGGAUUGAUCAUUAUCCGAUUUGGUAUUGAACUACACUAUAUUAACAUAUAUAUUCAAAUGACACUAGCACUGAAUUUCUGAGGAACAUGCGCAAUGGAAAAUUUUUAACAUAAAAAAAGAUUAAAUUUAGACAUUUGUUUCAUAACAAUGUUGUAUGUGUCAAUAGGGGUGAAGUAAUGGAGAUAGACAUAUGGGUUGGAGCAAGGUUGCAGGCUUGGUCUUGUGGUAAGCAAUGGACUAAUAAGAAAGCUUGUAUUUUGUUCUGUUUUCUCAAACUCAAACAAGGUAAAAGAGCUGAAAGAUUUACAUCAUUACCUGCAAAAGUUCUGUUAAAUGCUAUUGCUGAAUCUUACACAUAAUAAGAAACUUCUGUGGAUAGAAACUGUUGAAUGCAUUAUGUUAACAGGUCUUUGUAAUAUUUUGUGCAUACAUACUAUGAACAUAUUAAUUCUUGCUUUCGCAUUUAUUCUAUAUUGGAUGAAGAUAUCAGAAAUUAUAUUACUUUUUACUCAAAAUGAACUUCAUUACUUUCUCUCUCAUUUAUUCCUUAAUGGAACGGAGAUAUCGAAAAUUAUAUUACUCAUUACUCGAAUUUGGAAUUUUUAUUGUAUGAGAGAGUAAUGAAGUUCAUCUCAAUAGCCAAGGAUGAAGGUGCCACCAUCAUAUGUGGGGGUGAAUGCUCUUAAGUGAAAUUCCUUAAUCAUAGCCUAUGGCAAGUUUGUGAAUCGGCUUAUAAGGAUGUUGACCUAACUUUAUGAUUGAUUUGCAGCAUUUAAAGAAGGGUUACUUCAUCGAACCUGCCAUAAUAACAAAUGUAAAGACCUCUAUCGUUUUAGUGCAACGUUAUUUCUUCAGUCUUUUGAGUCAUAUUUUCUUCUUGUUCAAGUUUGGUGAACCACUCUUAAGCAGCUCAACCUUGAAA
rnacentral:lncRNA from 1 species